CAUGAAAGGGAGGAACUUUGUGCCAAGGUCCUGAUUAAUGAAUGGAUAGUUUUCCACAACUACAUAGAAUCACAGAUAUUGUACUAUCUCCUAGGGAGCUAGGCAAGAAUUAAAAUACUGACCAUUUAAAAUUAAAAGGAAGGAAGAAAAAGUUGGGACAAACAUUAUAGCUGUCAUAAUGCAGUGGCAACAUUACUUGGCAGAAAAGCAUUUACUACAAUGUUCGGUAACCAACAACACAGAUAUAUCUGCUGCAUCUGUCCACUUUAACCUUCAUGGGCUCUAGAAAAUUGUAAACUAUUUUUGCUGAACUUGAGUGGGGAAAACCAGUUUCCAACCGCAAGCAGAAGCGCAACACUGUUGACUUGUAUGCAGGCCUUUUGCAUCCGUGUAUACAUUCUAUGUUGGCCCCAUUAGUGAAAGAAACAAAAGGAUGCGUCUCAGCACACUGCCAAAACCAGGUCGGAGGCCACUGAAACCGUCAAGCAACCGAGAGAGCAGCUUCAGGAUUAACUGUUUCCUACUCACCGGUGUAUCCCAGGGUUGCGACAGCUUCUCCAUUUUUCACACACUUCGAGCCGGAGGCCGCCAUUUUGGCUCGGAGGAAAUUGCGUCAUCCUUCCUUCGCCAGCUGCUGAGCAUCGCGAGGUUUCUUGGGACCAAUCGCUUUCCCGGGAAAAUCGAAGGGCGGCUUCGUCCCUGCCAUCUGCGCAGCCUUGGGCCGCUGUGUUUGUUAAGCACGUCCGUUUGCCCGGAACGAAAUCCCACAGCCCAGGAGGGCCUUUGUUUCCCGAGACCCAGGCCUGCGCGUGAACUGGGUCAGCCAUGUGCCGCCCUGUUGCCUUUUUUUUAAGAUGAAGGUGAUGAGAUGGACUAGAGGCGAUAAGUGACACAAAGCCCCCUUUUCAAAGCCUGUUUUCACAUUCACGGAACGUUCGUAACCGGCGAGGAAAGGGAAGAUUCUGGAAACGGAAGAUUCGGAGGCGAAAAUCACACGCAAAACGAGUUUCCAGGGUUAAUUUUGGAACUGAAAACUUCUAGUGAGGCGUCCAGCGUUACGUCUGUUUUCUUAAAGCAGCGUAGAAAGCCCCUCCGUGUGUGUGUGUGAAGCGUCCACGGAGAAUUCCUUCGGUUUGAUAGGAUGGGUAUAUCGGCAUAUGGAAGAUUUUCCUUUCAAGAUGAAGAAAAUUUCUGAUGACUUCCCAACAAUAUGGAAGCGACUCCGUCUUGCUAUUUUUUUCGGCUGACUUCCCGAUAUAUUCAGGAGUUCUGAUGGAACUGAUCCCUGUUAACUUAAAUCAUAAGUUGGUUUGGGGCCUCUAACUAAUUGGGGUAAAAGUGUCCCAGUAUCCUGACUUUAAACAUAAUAAAGUUCGUAUUGUUAUAGAAUUGGAAGUUCAUUUUAAAUCUAAAAAGUUAAAACAUCAUAUAUUCUGGGUA